CCUACGGGUGGCAGCAGUCGGGAAUAUUGCGCAAUGGAGGAAACUCUGACGCAGUGACGCCGCGUAUAGGAAGAAGUUUUUCGGAAUGUAAACUAUUGUCGGGAGGGAAGAAAAAGCACAGUACCUAAGGAGGAAGCUCCGGCUACCUACGGGCCAGCAGCCGCGGUAAUACGUAGGGAGCGAGCGUUAUCCGGAAUUAUUUGGUGUAAAGGGUGCGUAGACGGGAAAACAAGUUAGUCGUGAAAUCCCUCGGCUUAACUGAGGAACUGCAACUAAAACUAGUUAUCUUGAGUGCAGGAGAGGUAUGUGGAAUUCCUGGUGUAGCGGUGAAAUGCGUAGAUAUUAGGCGGAACACCAGUGGCGAAGGCGACUUACUGGACUGUAACUGACGUUGAGGCACGAAAGUGUGGGGAGCAAACAGGAUUAGAUACCCUUGUAGUC
rnacentral:rRNA from 1 species